rnacentral:rRNA from 1 species
UACGUAGGGUGCAAGCGUUGUCCGGAAUCAUUGGGCGUAAAGAGCGUGUAGGCGGCUCGAUUAGUCCGCUGUAAAAGUCCAGGGCUCAACCCUGGGAUGCCGGUGGAAACUGUCGGGCUAGAGUCCGGGAGAGGCGAGUGGAAUUCCUGGUGUAGCGGUGAAAUGCGUAGAUAUCAGGAGGAACACCUGUGGCGAAAGCGGCUCACUGGACCAUAACUGACGCUGAUGCACGAAAGCUAGGGGAGCAAACAGG